rnacentral:lncRNA from 1 species
ACGGGGGACCUCUUCCUUUCCAAAAAAAAUGUCGGCACAAGGGCUGGCUGUCAAAGCUUUUCUGGUUGGUACCCAAAUUUGUUCAGUUGAAAAAACUUGCAAAACACCGGUUGUGCAUGCACUUAUUUUCAGCUUUGUUUGGUGGCGCAUAUUCGAAUAUACUUCAACCAGCUUGGUGGUCUCUGCAAUUAUUUAUACAUCUGGACGUACGUGACAGGAGGUUGUUCUAAAGUCUAAACGCAGGGGAAAAAAGGAAAAAUGCUGAAAUGAGGUACCACCAAAAUUCAUCAAGUCUCACUCUAACGAGUAAAGAAUAACUCUUUUUUUUUUUUUGUUUUGCAGCUGAUAAUUUGAAACUGAUUCGAUACCCUCAUUCAUUGGCGAGACUUGUGUGAGUUGGUGACGAUGGAGGUCUAUUUCUUGCGAAACAAAUCCUUAGAAACACUACCGCUCUUUUACGUGGCCAGGUGUUUCACAAUUAUUGAUCCAUUCUCCAACUCAGACAUUCUUGCAAGACGAAGGCAUAAAGAUAAAGGUGUGUGUGAGAAGUGGAAAAAAAGUAGCUAGUGACGUAAACAAAAAGAGAAUAAAGAAGUUUAUGGCAGGCAUAGGGAUUUGGAUGAAUCUUUGCUCAGGUUCCUCCCCAAAAAAAAAAAAAGGAAAAAUGGAAGCACAAUAAUGUCUCGUUCAGGCAAAUGGUGCAUCUGUCCACUGCCACUGGGUGAAGCUUUUGCUUCACCAUAAGCAGAAAGGUCACAGGCUCAUAGCGUAGCAAUGGUCAUUCAACGAUUUACAAUGUCUAGUUUUAGUAACUAAACUUUUUUCUUUUUUUCUUUUUUUUGGGGGAAGGGGGGAUUGGUGGGCUCUUAAAAUGUCAUAUUGCUAUUUCAAGUGACUCGUUUUACCUAUUUCAACUAUUUUUUUCGUUAAGUUAGUCAACAAAUCCUGCAUCUUAGUUAAUUGCACCUACUUUGAAGCAUUUUCAUCUAUUAGCUUCACAAAAAAAAUGAUUAAAAAAUCAUGACACGUUUAAAUCAUAGAUACACAUACGAGAACUUCUAAAAUAAAAAUUAUGAAUCAUCAUUUAGCUCGUAUCUCUCGUAUAGUCCUAAGUCUCUUAUAGUAGUAUUUUCUUUAUGUAUAAAAAUGAGAUGUCUAUACAAUAUAUAAUGACUGAGUGAAGACAAUUGGUAUAAACACUUUUUAUCAUCUUUUAACUUUCAAUUUUACUCUUAUAAAAUUAUUUUUUACUCUAAUCAUCUAAUCACAUUUUACCAAUAUAAAUACUCAUAACCAUCCUAAGUAUUGUAACUACCAAAAUUUUUCAUUAAAUUUUUGUAUAAAUUUUUUUGUAUGUAACAAACAAAAUUUAUACAAAUUUGAUUCAUUUUAAUUAUUCUCUAAUCGCACACGCAUUGGGUGUGCCGCUAAUACUAGUAUUGAUUGGUUGAAGAGGGCUUAAUCUAGUGAAUCAGGUUAAGAUUAUAAUAAUCAGAGGUUUUAAGUUUAAUCUUCAUUCACUUCUUACUUCUUAAAUACUAACCAUCCCAUGCUUUAAAAAAGUUAAAAUAAAAAGGGUUUAAAGAAAAUGAGAUACAUUGAUGAUAAAACGGUGUUUACUUAAACCAAAAACAAGAAAAUACUAAGAAAUAGUAUAUAACUAAUUUAGAUGCGAGGUGUUAAGUUGAAGGGGUAAGUAGAAGGAAAAAUGAUGAAUUGGAUGAUAUGGAUGAAGGAGUGUAAAUGAGAGUUCGCGGACUCUAAAUUUUUCACUUGCACUUUAAAAAUGAAAAAUGAGUUGAGAGAGUAAGUUGGCAAAAUUAGAUAAGAAUGGGUAAGAUAUGACACUUACAUAUGAGUUUGUUUGGAUAAGAGUUUAUUUGGAUGAUUUAUUUGAGAUAUUUACUGUAGCACUUUUUGUGAUGUGAUGUAUGUGAGAUAAAAAGGUGAUUGGGAAAAUAAAAAGGUGAUUGAGAUUUGUGAGAAUAAAUUAAGCAAACCAAAUUCUCUCUAUCCAAACAAACUUUGUGCUUUUGCUUAGAGUAAUGCAUAAAUGCCAAACUAGACCAGAAGACGAUUAGACAUCAAAUGCCACUUGUACCUUUAUAGAGCGAAUCACAUCAAUUGCCCGUGCAUUUAUUAAGAAGACGAUCAAGACAUUUCGCAGGAUUCCUAAGUGGAUUGUACAGUUCAAUUACCACUUCUAGAUACUGAAAUUUAAUUAUUAUUAUUAUUAUUUCUAUCUUUUACUUAGCCAUGAGUGAUUGUUGGUCACAUACUUGAAUCCAGCUUUGCAUUAAAAUAUAUGUAGACGUUGCACAACCGAAACCUAAAGUUUUAUACAUACAAAAGCUCUCGUUUGAAUUACUAUGUUUUAAAAUUUUUAUAAAAAAUAUUUAUAUUUAUGACAAUUGGAUGUAUAAAAUAUAAAGCGGUAUCUCCACUUUGGUGGGAUACUUGAUGAUGGAUGGAGGCCAAAAUGAGUAUAAUCUAAGAAGUAAGAAGUAAGAAACCAAAAACUAACGAAAAGUACUUUCUUGACGUGAGGAGGACAAAGGGAUUAAAAAACAAAAACAGCAAAAGUUCGGAAAGGACUUUGGAGACUGAAGAUAAAAAUAAAAUUUAAAAAAAAAACAAAAAGAUUAUCUGAUGGGAAACCAGGAGCAGAGCUGUCUGUGCACGCCAUUCAAUACAGCGUAACGUCAUCUACCGCUCGACCACUUCCAAAAAAUGCCAUCUUCUUUAUCCUACGAUACAACAGACAAAGCAACUCUAACCUGUUCACAAGUCCAUUGCAGGCCAUGCACCCCCACCCCCUUUAACUGUAGAAGUAACCGUCUUCAAGAUGAUAAAAAUCCAUGAUCCAUUUCAUCGGUUGCUGCUUGUCCAGAAGGACUUUUCCCCCCAAGGGUCAUCCUAAUUUUCUUUCAUUUUAACAUCAAUCUAACUUUUUUCCUAAUUUAUUAUAACAUAAAUAACGUUAUAAAAAAAUAAAAUCAAAGAAUGAUCCACGUGAUUAGUGGCGAAUAAUGGAGAAAUCUCUUUAAUCCUUCUUAAAAAUAUUGUUUUUAUCCUUCCAAAAGCCCCACUCAAAAUUUGGAGAAAAAUGAACAAUAAAAAAUGGAAGCCCCCGGUUGAAGCACAAGCUAUGUCCCACGAGCACUCAUUAGCUACUUAUACUUUGCCAUCAUAGAAAGCGUAUGGCAUUUGAUAGUUGCGAGGAGCACGGAAUAGAUCCCUCAUCACCAACUUAAAAAGUUGAAACGAAAAAUAAAUAAAUAAAUAAAACAAAAAAUAAAAAAGAAUUGAAAAAAGCCAGUGCGUGUAAUAACGCGCUGCAUUUAGCCUGCAUUCCCGCUAACUCUUUCCCCUUUUCAAAAACCUAAUGCAAGGCCAUUUUCUCACCACCUUCACCAUUCGCCACCUCAUCAACAAUUCCACACCGUUCGAUCAUAUGGAGUCUCCAACUCUCUAAAACCUCGAUCAAUCCGACGGUCGAAUUGAGAUGCCCCACGAUCGCUUCCCACAGACCGCGUUACACCAUAUUACUCCACCUUAUCCUGGGAUUUUCUCUCUCCACCGAGUAUAAAAGCCUCGGCCAAACCCUUCCAUUCUUCACAGUGUCUGUGCCUCACUCUGUCUUGGGUUCUAGUUUUCUAUUUAUCUUUUCCCUGUUAGUUUUCCGGCCGGUUACUCCGGCGAGUUGUCUAGAGCUUAGGUGAAGGAAGGAUGGCGUUGUUGCCAGAUCUAGGAACGGAGAUCGUGAUUCCGGUGUGCGCUGUCAUCGGAAUCAUCUUCUCUUUAAUCCAAUGGGUACUCGUCUCGCGCGUGAAGCUCUCACCGGAGCGAAAAGAGGCGAAUAAUAACAGUAAGAAUGGAUUCAAUGAUUGCCUGAUUGAAGAAGAGGAAGGCAUCAAUGAACAAAACGUCGUCCUUGAGUGCGCCAACAUUCAGAGCGCCAUCGCCGAGGGUAAGAUUUCAGCUGUCUGGAUCUUCAUGGCGCAUUUCUACAUCUAAUUCCUCUUCUUAGCUUAAAUUGUUUGAGCUUUUCAUUGGAUUUAUAGAUCUUUGGUGGAGUUCUGCUUGUUAGCCUGAAAGUAGAGGAAAGAUCGAAAGAAAAGUUAAAGUUUCGUUGUUUUUGCUUAAUUUAGUUGCUUGUGCUGUAAUCCUGAUAAUGAGUGAUUAGUAAAAAUUGAAUCUUUGUACUUUUGAGUGAUUGUUUUGAGUUAAUUUUUUUUUGUAUAAUUUCUUGGCGGUCAUGGAACUAUAUUGAUAAUUUGUAUCUUAUUGGCGGCGAAUGUCGGGUUUAGGGUUUCGGGUGGGAGAGGUGGAUAGUAAUGAGGUUAUGGCGUAUUUACGUGAUGCUGAGGUGGCACUUUGGAUAGAUCUGAUAUAGGGAACUGAAUACUUUUGUUAUAAAUGCUGUGACUGUAGUUAUUUUGUGAUAAGUGUACCGCGAUUUUUGGAAGAUUGGAUUAAUAUUUAAUUGGUAAAUACUGUGAAAGAUUAAGGUUUAACUGGGGGAGUUGAUUCUCCACUAUCUUUUCCUGGUAAAGCUUUCUAGAUUUAUGCCAGUGGUUGGAGAUUUAUUAUAUUAAGCCUGAUAUCAAUAGCAUGUGUGCUGCACGUGGUGCCAUCUGGCAUGUGAUGAAUUCUUCUGUGAACAUUAUUGUUUCGCUUGCUUAAUUUAUUCUGGGUAGAUUCUGUUGCACUACUAUGUAAUGCUUUUACUUUAUAUAACAAAGAAUAGAAAUCAAUUAUUUUCAAAGGCAUUUGUUUUUGUCUUUUUCACAAGGUUUAUUUAUUUGCAUUAUUAUAUUCUUUUAUGUAUUUAUAAUCUCUAAUUGAUAUCAUUAUGCAUCAUUGGCCAACCUUUUUUUGGUAAAUAUUCUUAUGCAGUAAACCUUAAAACAAAAAUCCAAAUUUUAAAGGAAAAGAAUCUUUCUCUGUGGUGAAAGUGUUUCAUGCUGGCAGUGUUGUAAUUGUGAGAGACGGGUUCUUUAUAUCUUUAGACUUAGGACAUCUGCAUUUUUCUGUUGAUUACAAAAAUUCUUGUGUUUUUCAUGCAAUUGGUUUGUGGAUCUGAUGAUAAAUUUCACUGGAAAUUUUAAUAGCUGGAGUUCUGGUAAUAUUGGCAAUUUGCUUAUCAAUGACCUGCAUUGCUAGGAAGUUUUGGCUGCUCAAAUUUUGAACUUUAUUGGAUACAUCUUUGGUUAAUAUCUGACUUUAUCUGACUUGCCUACAAAUUUUGUACGGUUUGAUGAGUUAAAUUUUUACGUUGACAACCUUAAAUAAAAUCUACAGAGGCUGCCUUUGAUUUUUAAAGAAUCCAAUUUUUCUUUUUGGUAACAAGGAGUAUUAGAUUUAUAGUUUAGUUACUGUUUCUGGAUGUGAUCAUCUUCUUGAUUCUGGAGUAGAGUUGUUGGUACUGUGUUCUGUUUCAUGUUUAUUAAUGCUACAGACUGAUGUUGUGCUUUAUUGUGGCAGGUGCAACAUCAUUUUUAUUCACUGAGUAUCAAUAUGUUGGUGUUUUCAUGGUUGCUUUUGCAAUUCUCAUCUUCCUCUUCCUGGGCUCUGUUGAGGGCUUCAGCACAAAGAGCCAGCCAUGCACAUUUAACAAGGAGAAAUUCUGCAAGCCAGCUCUUGCAACUGCUGCCUUUAGCACUGUAUCCUUCUUACUUGGUGCUUUCACCUCAGUUAUUUCUGGUUUCCUUGGCAUGAAAAUUGCUACAUUUGCCAAUGCAAGGACAACUUUGGAAGCUAGGAAAGGUGUU